rfam:Pseudomonas sp. HPB0071 genomic scaffold aczIi-supercont1.1, whole genome shotgun sequence.
ACAACAAAAAUAAAAAAUCAGUAAAACCCCUAAUAAAAAUAAGACGUAACGACUCCAGCACAAUAAGAACAAGCAGGCGGAGGCGUAGCUAACUGAUCAUUUUGGAGAAGAGUCGAUUGCGGAGCAUUUGCCCCGUACCAGGCCGAGAACAAUAAAACUGCCCUGAGGCAGCACCUGCACUGGAUAGAUCAAUUGUGAUCAUGACGACAUCAGCGUCCAAAGUAAUCCGUUUGCUCUUGGCCCCGAAUUUGGGAGCCCUCCUGGCGGCAGGUAUCCGACCAGGACGGACCAGACAAGAAAAACAACAGGUUCGAUAUAACAAUAAAAACAAAGCACGUACCAAUUUGGGGGGGAGCUUCGGCUCCCCCAGUGCCUUAAGCUUCACGCCAGCCAUCAUUCAAGA